rnacentral:lncRNA from 1 species
UAUUUGAAUACUAAAUAAAGGUUCCUUUGCGAUGAUAUCAUCCUCAAGCUUGAUGUUAGUUGAUCUUUGGGCAUGCAAAGGUAUGUGACUAUAUGCGAACAAAUAUGAACAAGCAAGACAUGAGAUAUAAAACUACUAACCAGUAUAACAGCUUUGAUGUUGUCAGUCGUUAAGGGAAAUUCAAGGCCUCCAUGAUCCUGGAGAUUCAGAAGAACAUCAAGUAGAUCAUCCGUUUCAUCAUCACUGUUUCCCAGAUUUGCAUUGCUAGCUCUAUGUUCUUCAAUGAUG